rnacentral:lncRNA from 1 species
UGACUCUACUCCCCCCCCCCCCGCCGAAAUCCCCUCUUCCAACUUUCAGCCUUUUGCGUUUCCUUUCAGUUUUUCACUUCUCAUCCCUCCUGGCAGCGUUUGCCGAGCCCUAGAACCCAGCCCUGAUCUAAGUCAUAGAAAAAUCAAAGUGAUGCGUGCCACUGGUUUGGAUCAUAUGCACACAAUUCAAAAAGAAAAAGGAAGAGAAAUCUGAUCCUGAGUGAGGGGAGCAGAACAUUUGAAGCAUGCACUUUGAGUUCCUUGCAAAAAAAAGAAAUGGACUUUCCCACAAGAUUAAGAAAUGGAGAGGAGCAUACAAUAUGUGGGAGAACUCAAAUGCUCUUAGAUUUAGGAAGUGAAGUGUGUGCGGCUUGAGAAAGGUAGGAGAGUUGAAUGCUACA